rnacentral:rRNA from 1 species
UCGCAAGAAAGAGGAUAGUGUUUAUUAGAUACAGAACCAAUACACCAUCUGUUUAUCAGGUGGUGUAAAAAAGGUGAUUCAUAGUAACCGAACGGAUCGCAUUAUGGUCAUUUUAUAUGGCUGGCGAUAGAUCAUUCAAGUUUCUGACCUAUCAGCUUUCGACGGUAGUGUAUUGGACUACCGUGGCAGUGACGGGUAACGGGGAAUUAGGGUUCGAUUCCGGAGAGGGAGCCUGAGAAACGGCUACCACAUCUAAGGAAGGCAGCAGGCGCGCAAAUUACCCAAUCCUGACUCAGGGAGGUAGUGACAAGAAAUAACAACACUGGAAAUUUUAUUUCUAGUGAUUGGAAUGAUGGGAAUUUAAACCCCUUUCAGAGUAACAAUUGGAGGGCAAGUCUGGUGCCAGCAGCCGCGGUAAUUCCAGCUCCAAUAGCGUAUAUUAAAGUUGUUGCAGUUAAAAAGCUCGUAGUUGGAUGUCUGCUGGAAGCAAUCAGUCCGCCCUAUUUGUAGGGUGUGCACUUGAUGAAUUCUGGCAUCUAUGUCCCAAUAAUGUGGUGGUGUAUACCCUGUGUAUUACCCAUCUAUAUUGGGAUAAUACCGUUACUUUGAGAAAAUUAGAGUGUUUGAAGCAGGCUAAUUGCCUUGAAUACUGCAGCAUGGAAUAACAAUAUAGGAUUUCGGUUCUAUUUUGUUGGUUUCUAGGACUGAAAUAAUGAUUAAUAGGGACAGUUGGGGGCAUUCGUAUUUAACUG